AGGAACCACAGUGGUGGGGCCAGCUCUGGAGCCCUGACUUCAGCCCUCGCAGUAACUCCAGAGCUCUCGGUCUGCAGGGCCUGGAGGCUCCGGGGCGGG
rnacentral:pre_miRNA from 1 species